GACGAACGCUGGCGGCGUGCUUAACACAUGCAAGUCGAACGAAGAGCGAUGGAAGCUUGCUUCUAUCAAUCUUAGUGGCGAACGGGUGAGUAACGCGUAAUCAACCUGCCCUUCAGAGGGGGACAACAGUUGGAAACGACUGCUAAUACCGCAUACGAUCUAAUCUCGGCAUCGAGGAUAGAUGAAAGGUGGCCUCUACAUGUAAGCUAUCACUGAAGGAGGGGAUUGCGUCUGAUUAGCUAGUUGGAGGGGUAACGGCCCACCAAGGCGAUGAUCAGUAGCCGGUCUGAGAGAAUGAACGGCCACAUUGGGACUGAGACACGGCCCAGACUCCUAUGGGAGGCAGCAGUGGGGAAUCUUCCGCAAUGGACGAAAGUCUGACGGAGCAACGCCGCGUGAGUGAUGACGGCCUUCGGGUUGUAAAGCUCUGUUAAUCGGGACGAAAGGCCUUCUUGCGAAUAGUGAGAAGGAUUGACGGUACCGGAAUAGAAAGCCACGGCUAACUACGUG
rnacentral:rRNA from 1 species